rnacentral:rRNA from 2 species
UACGGAGGGUGCAAGCGUUAUCCGGAAUCACUGGGUUUAAAGGGUGCGUAGGCGGUGGCGUAAGUCAGUUGUGAAAUUCCCCGGCUUAACCGGCGGGACUGCGAUUGAUACUGCGUCACUUGAAUCAGGAUGAGGUAGGCGGAAUGUGACAUGUAGCGGUGAAAUGCUUAGAUAUGUCAUAGAACACCGAUUGCGAAGGCAGCUUGCUGGACCUGUAUUGACGCUGAGGCACGAAAGCGUGGGGAGCAAACAGG